rnacentral:lncRNA from 1 species
AUUCCAGGCUCUUGCCAGUCUCAGGAUUUUUCUCGUGAAUGAACCAGGAAGGUCCAAGGUUUUGAACUCCUGAGCUCAAGUGAUCCUCCUGCCUCAGCCUCCAUAGUCGCUGGGACUACAGACAUGUGGGCUUAAAGCCAUCCCUCACUGAUCCCUGCUAGCAGAUGAAUAUAUCGGAAGGUGAUGAGUACGAAGGAGCUUGGCUGCCAGCCAGGCGGUGUCGGAAAAGGAUGGGAAUUAUGUUGUUGUGAACCUAAAGCUGCUCCAGGAAAGUCUAUCGAAAAGUUAAAAACAUUUAAAUAAACAAAUAAAAGGAUGAGAAUGUUGAAA